UACGUUGGCCAUAGCAAUUAGCCCAUUGCAGAGAACGGGCAAACUAUCUAGUUUAGGUGAAGCAAAAAUGAAAUUAGAAUAUUGAUCGCACACGAUCUAGGGUCUACCGCGGCCAGAAAUAUAGAUUGCAAGUUCAUAAAACAGGUAUAUACCCCGGUUAGUACUCGGUGGGCACACCACUACCGAGGAAUCUGAUCAUGCUAUACAUCUAGAUGAGUACACGGCCACAGAUA